rnacentral:lncRNA from 1 species
UGCAAUAUUGGCAUUGAUGGAGCUGUGGUGUUCCCAAUCUAGGGUUUGGAAGAGAAAGAGAAUAAGAGAAAAGGGAGAUUAGGGUUUUAAAAGAUGGAAGAACGAUGAGUGAUGUUGGCAGCUGUGAGUGUUUGAGAAAAGAGAGAAAACAACAACUCCAGAGAAAAGCAAAAAAUUAUGAAUGAAUUCAAGCAAAAGUAUGUUGAGUUACAGUGGAAGAAAACUAUAUAUACAAAGGAAAAAGGAAAAACAGAAAUAACAAAUUGUUCAAAAACAUACUAUAACACUACAACUGAACAAUUUCUAUGUUUCCACCAUUCGGUAGUAUUAAGCCACUUGGCAACCUCACGCCUAUGACCAUUCGGUAGUCUAGUAACCUUACUGA